rnacentral:lncRNA from 1 species
UAACUGUUAAGAAAGUGAUUAUAGACCCACAUAUUCAUAUUCAUCCACUCAAUACAUAUUUAUUGAGGGAAGACAGUGUGCCAGACACCUUUGAGAGUUCUUAAGGGUUGGAAGAAAUCCAUAAUGGAUUUCCUCCCAUAUACAACUCUGAUCCACUGGCAUUAGCUGCCGGGAGGGGCUGUGUUGAGGGGGAUUCAGAGGCCUUCUCAGAAGUGAAGUCUAUGACUAGCAAUGCCCUAGAAGAGAAGGCAUCCUCUGCUG